rnacentral:tRNA from 1 species
CCUUCGAUAGCUCAGUUGGUAGAGCGGAGGACUGUAGUGGGUAACAGUACUGUCAUCCUUAGGUCGCUGGUUCGACUCCGGCUCGAAGGA